GAAAACCCAACUCCAAGGAAAGAUCACCGCUCCAAGGAAAGAUCACCGCUUCUUUUUCUUUUUGCCUCCAGAAAAAAAAAGAAAACCCACUGCCCCGUGCCCUAAUAUUCCCCGCUCCAAGGAAAGAUCACCGCUUCUUAAUAUUUUCCGAUCCAAGGAAAGAAAGAUCACCGCUUCCUGAUAUUCCCCGCUCUUCCUCCCCGCUGCCGUCCGAAGCAAAGAUUGCCUCUUCUCGUCUUCCAAUCUCUGAAUAAUGGAAAGUGGUGGAAAGUGGUGUUGCUUCAUGGUUGUGACUUAUUUCCAGUGUGCAAUCAAGAAGCUGGUCAAAAAGCUUGCUAAGAAGUACCAUGCUUUCCUAGCAUCAGAGGCGAUCAUGUAUAUUCACAUUUGUUCUAUGUGAAGCAGAUAGUAUUCCAUAUGUAAAUUUGGAUGAUUUGACUUGUAUUCCUUGUCUUUGUAAAGAUUAAAUGCUUUUUGAAUAUUGCUGGUAUUAGAUGAAUGAACAGAUAACUUGUAAAGGUUAAUUCCUUAUGUUCA